UUUCCCAACAACUAACAGACCCAACCCCAAACAAACCAACCUUUAUCUAUCUACUCACCGUUUCUUCUUCACGCUCACGGACGGACGGACGGACCAAACGAGGCCUCAGUUUUUGGCGGGUCUUUCUGCAAACCCAUGACCCAGACCCAAACCCGUCCCACCACUGAACCCGAACGUCCCAAGCCCACCGCUGCCACUGCCAUGAGGCUCAUUGUGCCGUUACAAGGCGUUGUUCAAGGCAGAGGAGGUCUUAUUUUGGGCUCUCUAAUACCUUGCGCUCUUUUUUACUUUCUUCAGUUUUAUUUGAAACGUCACCGUUCUCCGAACCCUUCCUCGGAUCCUCCGUCGCCGUCUACUCCGUCCUCGAACCUCGCGGACCUACCCAGAACAUCUUCGCGGUCCAAUUUGUCGUCGCGUGGGUCUUUUGGUCCAGUUCGAGUAUCUUCUCGGGCUGGCUCGCUUGCUAAAGCAGAUGAUUCUACGUAUUAUAUCGGGUUAAAUAAGGUUAAGGAGGAUCCGUAUCAUAGGACGAAUAAUCCGAAUGGGAUUAUUCAGCUUGGGUUGUCCGAGAACACUUUAUGUUUGGAUUUGAUUGAGAAAUGGGUCUCGGAGAACUUGACGGAUUCUAUAAUGGGAAGCGAUGGUGGUGAUUUGAGCAUUAGUGGAAUUGCUGCAUACAAGCCGUUUGAUGGAAUGACGGAGAUGAAAGUGGCUAUGGCAAGUUUCAUGUCUCGAGUCAUAGGGAAAGCAGUUUCAUUUGAUCCUUCACAAAUAGUAUUAACUGCUGGUGCAACUCCUGCAAUUGAGAUACUAAGCUUCUGCUUGGCAGACCAUGGAAAUGCAUUUCUUGUCCCUACGCCAUAUUAUCCUGGUUUUGACAGGGAUAUAAGAUCACGAACAGGAGUAGAGUUAAUUCCUGUUCAUUGUCGGAGCACUGACAACUUCGUUUUCAGUAUAACUGCACUUGAUCAAGCAUUCAAUCAGGCAAGAAAACGAGGAGUGAAAGUACGUGCAAUUCUCAUCUGCAACCCUGCAAAUCCUGUUGGCAAUAUACUUCCACGAGAGACUCUUUAUGAUGUUUUGGACUUUGCACGAGAGAAAAACAUCCAUAUUAUCUGUGAUGAAAUAUAUGGGGGGUCAAUAUUUGGAAGUGAGGAGUUUGUGAGCAUGGCAGAAAUUCUUGACUCAGAAGAGGGUGACAAGGACAGGGUUCAUAUAAUAUAUGGGCUGUCGAAAGACCUCUCUCUUCCUGGAUUUAGGGCUGGAGUUAUCUAUUCCUAUAAUGACAGUGUUUUGGCUGCCGCAAAAAAGUUAACAAGAUUUUCCUCCAUGUCUACCCUGACACAGAGACUCUUAAUUUCAAUGCUUUCGGAUACAAGAUUCACUCAGGAAUAUUUUGAGACCAAUAAAAGAAGGGUAAAGGAAAUAUAUGAUUCAUUUGUGGCAGGUUUAAAACAAUUGGGAAUCAGAUGCUCGGAGAGCAAUGCUGGCUUAUACUGUUGGGCUGAUAUGAGUGCACUAAUCCCCACUUACAGUGAGAAAGGAGAACUUGAAUUAUGGGACAAGCUAUUGAAUAUCGCUAAGAUCAAUGUUACUCCUGGGUCGGCCUGCCACUGCAUAGAACCAGGAUGGUUCCGCUGUUGUUUUGCCACUUUAUCUCAAGAGGAUAUUCCUGUAGUUAUAGAACGGAUUCAAAAAGUUGCUGAAACUUGUAAAUUCCCCAGUUGAAAUACUGCAAGAAAUUUUAUAUUUAAGCAUAUUGCCAUGACUAAUUGUUUGGGGAAGUUGUAAUGGACAUGCACAUUUUGACAAAUUUUCAAGUUUGGCUGUCUUAGAAAUUCUGCGGUUUAACAUUCAGUUUGCAUUCUGGAUGUUAUAAUUUCUUUACAUCCUCACUUGUUGGAAAUAGAAAUAUAAAAUGAUUUGGAAGAGAGUUUCAUAGAGGUCAUGGAUUGCUGGGUGAUUUUGAACCACAAGGUGGGUUGCGUUUUUACUUUGACAACAGUUUCAGAGCAUUAGCUGGCACUUCUUCCUCUGCAGUCCUUCAAUCAUUUUGAUACUGGUUCCAAAGAUGCAGCAUCCAGAAGCUCUCCUUGCGAAUUCCUGUUAUAGUUGCAUUCAGGCAAAACUUUCAUCUGGUAGCUCCUCCUUCGACUGAUCAUUAUCAGCUCUCCAAGUGUUGUUGGCCUCCUUAUCACGACACUGCUGUUACUUUCAUCAUCAAACUCCUUGCUUUUCAUUACUGGUUGGGUAAGAGGGCCCAUUU